ensembl:lncRNA
GUCUGCUUAUGAAACUUCCAAGAGGCACUAAAAGAGCACACAGAGACGAGGUAAUGACGGGAGGAACCGUGGAAGGUGAUUUCCCAAGUGGGACAAGAGAAUCUGGAAAAUAUAGAAAAAUACCAAGAAGAAACUCACCUGGCACCCUAGAAGAGCCACGGUUUCAUUGGUGUGUAUACCAAUUAACGAAGUCAAUCAGAUUAUACAGAUAUAAUGAAAAAUGAGGAGGCAUUAACAGUUGGAUGACUCAGCUGUGCACAGCUGGCAGAUACAGGCUCUGCUUGGCUGUGACAGUGUCUCAGACAUCCCUUAUUUUUGCUGACGGUCUCGUGGAGGAUGGUCAGGUUGUGGCCCAUCCGGACAAUGGGACAAUAUUCAGCAUGGAGAAGAGCUGAGCUGUCGAACCAGGGGAAUAUGGAAGAGAUGGAAGUGUGUACUGGCAAGAAUAAGAAACCCGUCUGGGAAUGCAUGUGCCAUGCCUGAAUUUCCUGAUCUGUCACGUGGGAAGACCAGGGCAGUCCUGCCUGUGGCUAAGGAGGGGCCCAGAAGAGAAGGACUUCAGACAGCAGCACUCGGAUGUAGGAGGAACAGGGGCCCUCAGUGAGAGACUCAGGUGCAGCUGAGGAUGGAGAAUGAAGAAGGGGCUCCCUGUCCCUUCCCCCAGGCUGGUCCGGGAAAGUGCUGGCUGAAUGCCACGCCCAAGCGCACGGGCUCCAGGAGGCAGAGUGGCUGCAGAGCCGGUGGCCUCCUCACAGAAGCCUGUUUGCCUCCCAACCUCAAAUACUGGCUCUGGCAGGCAGAGGGGUCAGCAUCAUGGGCUGGGAUGCAGGCACCAGUCAGUCACCCUCAGAUGCCAAGGCAGAGGUGCAUGCAGGCUGGCCCUGUCCCCACAUUUGCCUGGGGAGCAGGCGUACCUCUGCAGCAGGUACAACAGCAGCAGAGGCCUCCUGAGGGUCCCAUCUCAUCCCCAGCAUCAACAUCACUGUUCCUGCUCUGGGACCAGAGAUGAGGGGUGAAGCCUCCCCUAGCUCUUCUGGCAUUCGGCAUAAACAUUUGUGGAGUUGGUGCUAUCACCAGCCCUGACUGCAAGACCAUGGACUGGAGCCACCUUUCCACUCAUCCUGCCAUCUGCUCACCUUGACAGAGAGGGCAGGGAGAACUAGAACCUGCAGGAUCUGGCCAACUUCCAGCUCCAUGGCAUGCUGUGUGCCCUUGGGAGAGGCCCUCCAUCUCUCUGACUCUGUUGCCUCAUCUGUACUCUGGGCCCCGAAUUGUCUGAGGUGUAAGGUCAGCUUGGCUCUCAGAAGACCUGCCUCUGCAGGGCCCCACUCAGUUCCCCGGGCUGAUCCCAGACACUCGCCCUCAACCUCUUCCCCAAGGAGUUGCUGGUCAGCAAAUAAUUGUCAAUAACACGCAUUACAAGAUUCUCUGUACUCAGAGCAAGGAGCCUGUGAUGCCUUCUGUGUUGUGGGUGGCUUGUUGGAAGCGAUGGCCUGCAGGUGGUCCUGAGUACUGGGCUUGAAUCAGCAGGAAAUGCCAAGCACAGACUGAGAGCCCUUGGAGCCCAGGCACUCUGAUCCUGGCCUCCAGGAGCUGCUCUAGCACUGAGUGCCAGUGUCACACAGGCCUGGCUAGCCUAGAAGUAGCCGAAAGGUCCUUCACAUUGUAGACAUCGCUGGGCCUUUUCUAUUGACAGAAAUACUCCUACACCCCAUUAAGAUCCUGAAAUCUCUUCCAGGGUGAGGAGACCUUUGUGAAAAUCUUUCUAGUACAGAUUCUCAGGGGGCAGGGGAGUCGUUGGAAGUCAGUGACAGCUCAGACUUCCAUGGGGACAACAGGUCAGACCAUUCUAAUAUAUUGCUUGGUUCAUUCAUUAAUUCAUUCAUCCAUCCGUCCAUCCAUCACAAGAAAUCCCAGACAGCAAAACCCUUCCAGCAGUGGACGAGAAGCAGAUGCUGGGGCCUGGGAGGGCCCAGUCUCCAUGGCAG